rnacentral:rRNA from 1 species
GCAAGUCGAGCGGAUGAAGGGAGCUUGCUCCUGGAUUCAGCGGCGGACGGGUGAGUAAUGCCUAGGAAUCUGCCUGGUAGUGGGGGAUAACGUCCGGAAACGGGCGCUAAUACCGCAUACGUCCUGAGGGAGAAAGUGGGGGAUCUUCGGACCUCACGCUAUCAGAUGAGCCUAGGUCGGAUUAGCUAGUUGGUGGGGUAAAGGCCUACCAAGGCGACGAUCCGUAACUGGUCUGAGAGGAUGAUCAGUCACACUGGAACUGAGACACGGUCCAGACUCCUACGGGAGGCAGCAGUGGGGAAUAUUGGACAAUGGGCGAAAGCCUGAUCCAGCCAUGCCGCGUGUGUGAAGAAGGUCUUCGGAUUGUAAAGCACUUUAAGUUGGGAGGAAGGGCAGUAAGUUAAUACCUUGCUGUUUUGACGUUACCAACAGAAUAAGCACCGGCUAACUUCGUGCCAGCAGCCGCGGUAAUACGAAGGGUGCAAGCGUUAAUCGGAAUUACUGGGCGUAAAGCGCGCGUAGGUGGUUCAGCAAGUUGGAUGUGAAAUCCCGGGCUCAACCUGGGAACUGCAUCAAAACUACUGAGCUAGAGUACGGUAGAGGGUGGUGGAAUUUCCUGUGUAGCGGUGAAAUGCGUAGA